rnacentral:rRNA from 1 species
CUUCUCCAAAAUGCAAGCAAAAACCUAAUCGGACCAACCAUUGGUUAAUAACGCCUAUGAACUAAAUAUAGUAACUCACUCUAGUAAACUCUAUAAAUAAAAGCGUUAACCUUACACAAGAGCAUUUCUGGAAAGAUUAAAAGAAAAAGAAGGAACUCGGCAAAUCCAGGCCUCGCCUGUUUACCAAAAACAUCGCCUCUUGACUUCCAUAAGAGGUCCAGCCUGCCCAGUGAUACUAUUAAACGGCCGCGGUACCCUGACCGUGCGAAGGUAGCAUAAUAACUUGUUCUUUAAAUGGGGACUAGCAUGAACGGCAUCACGAGGGUCUCACUGUCUCCUUUUUCUAAUCAGUGAAACUGAUCUCCCCGUGAAGAAGCGGGGAUAAAAAUAUAAGACGAGAAGACCCCAUGGAGCUUUAAACCCAAUAGACACCUCUGACUAAUCUAACCCAAAACACUUCUUAAGUUCUGCCUAUUGGUUUUAGGUUGGGGUGACCACGGAGUACAAUAAAUCCUCCAUGACGUACGGGACUUCCCUCUUAUCCUUGAACCACAUUUCUAAGAAUCAACAAAUUGACGUUUGAUGAUCCAAUAUAUUGAUCAACGGACCAAGUUACCCUGGGGAUAACAGCGCAAUCCAUUUUAAGAGCCCCUAUCGCCAAAUGGGUUUACGACCUCGAUGUUGGAUCAGGGUAUCCUAGUGGUGCAGCCGCUACUAAUGGUUUGUUUGUUCAACAAUUAAAACCCUAC